UAUAAAUAUCAUUUACAAAUUAAAGCAAUACAACGUUGCUAAAACAAAGGUUAGUUCAGUAACAUUUUUCUAAGCUUUUGUAAUUUUUAAGCAUAACAAAGCACGAGUCAGUCGCACACACAACAUUCUUAGCAGGUCGGGUUUACCAUUGGUGGUCGAACGUAGCCGAGGAGAAACGACCCUUAACACGAUCGCGAAUACCGGGUUGUGCACGAAUAGCUUGAGCUUGCGCGGUGCUUUCGAAAGGCGCGUCCUGGCUCCGUCGUCUGAUCGCGGUUGGGCUUUUAUUCGUUGUCGAGCUUUCGUGCUGGAGCGUGCGCGUCUCUCAUCGUAGCGAAAUAAAGAGAGAAGAAAGGAGAGAGCGGUCUCGUUCGCGUCCGGCCGGGUCACCACGUACCAAUCCCACAAGUAGCAGAGACGCUGUAUCCAGGAAGGCUAGAUAUAGGGUCGUUUUGCACGCGAAAAUGUAACGAUCUCAGUAGUGGGGCCGGUUGUCUGGAAAAUUGGUUUAGACCGAAGGGGAGAAAGAGGUGAUAUCCCUUUCCCCGCGUCGCAGCUCGCGAGUGAAGCAUCUUGCAGAGGGGAUCCAUGGCGUGAAGCAUCGGUUGGUUCAUCCAACUAUUUCUACACGGAAGUCUGAAGCUCGAGAAAACUCAGGAUGCACGCGGUUGGAUUGCACUCGGCGCUGGCCAUCAAGCGUCAGAGAAAACGCCGGGACGAGCAGCGUCGUGCCCGCGAGCGUCGUUAUAGCGCGCAAUCGGGCGAGAGCGGCCUGACGUCGCCCAGGGCUUCGACCGGUUCCUUGGAUCAACAACCGAGACACCAUAAAACCGGACAUCCGAAUCGUUCUGCCGGCCAGGGUAUGUUGGAUUCGAAGGUGGUCACGUCGGUGGGAAUGCUUCACAUCGGCGUGGUCUUCCUGGUGUUCGGUGCUUUUCUUCUGAUGAGUGGCCUGUUGCCGGGAGAUCUCGCUCAAUGGGGAACCAAAGCAUCUGGAGGCUGGUGGAACGAGCUGGUAGCCAUAGGUCUGUUCGCUAUCAUCGUCGGCAUGUUCCUCAUCAUUUUGAACAGGGUGAUCGCGAAGAAGGAAGAAAACGACCUGGAAGAGUACGUGCAAAGGCAAUUAACCAGGUCCAAGUCGGGACACAGACUGGAGAGAGACGCGGAAACUGGAGGAUUGACCACCAGGCAAGCCAGAAGAGCGAGGCAACUGCAACAACAGGCAGCUACCGCUGCAGCUAUAGAAACGGAGAACGAGAAAGAGUCUACUUCUCCACCGAGAAGUCCUCCGCCUGCUUAUUCGCCGCCACCGACGCUCAACGGAGAUCACCAGACUGCUCAGUCCGCCCUAUACCUGGAACAGAUCACCGAAGAGGAGAUUAUCAGUGACCGCGUAGAAACGUCGACCACUAACAGCCUGAGUCCCGGUUCACCGAGCGAGACCAGGGAAUUAUUGCAGAAUCCUCGCCAUUCGAAGCAAAACGGCAACCCUCAACAGGUUCAUCGGCCGCUUUACGUGUCCAGGAUUUAAAUUACGAGGGAAAGUUCGGAGCCCGUUCUGGCUUGAAGUUUGUACGAUCGCGAGGAUCUCAUAUAUAUCGGGAACAAACUUGAGUAGGCGGUUUCUGCGACGGCGACGAUGAUGACAAUGGGGCGGCGUUUUUACAAUGUGGUAUCGCGAAAGUUUCGAUCAAAUGGGUAACAUCUUGGAAGCCGUAGUUUAUCGAUGGAAUUUGUAAAUGGUUUUGAAAUUCGAGGAAAGGGAAGAAAGGAUAUUUAGAAACGAGAAAUUGAAUCGUCCAGUUAAGAGAUUUUCUUUGGAAUUAAUCAUCGAUUACGAUGAACUAAGAUACACGAGCCAAUAUCGAUAGUCUGUUUUUCGAAGUUAUCGAGAUUUCGUCUAUUUCUUGUAGCAGCCGUUUAAAUUUAAAUAUCUCACUACUGUCUUACAGCUGAUUCGAUUCUUCCCGUAAGUUAUCAGUAACGAGGGAUUUUUCUUCCAAAACAAGGAUCUCGUCGUUAAACGUUCGCAAAACCUGACCAAUGGGACCAAGGUUUCGUGCGUGACAUAAAUUUUCUUUGAACCACCUAAACAAAACGCAACACUAUCAUUCAUCAAAUACGAUAAGAGAUUAUCAAAAUACGAUUCGUCAACGAAAACAUUCCCGAAACAAAAUUCAUUGUUCGACACGUCGAGCGUUUAACAAUUCCAUUAAUCGAACUCUACGGUUCAACCUUGCGGAUACUGAAUGAGGGCAAUCGACCGUAAAACAAGCAACUAAUCGAAAGCAUCUCAAUCGAACUACUAGUCGACGAAAGUGUAAUCUACAUAGUCGAAAAUGCAAUUUCCCGUGCGCUAAUUUCGAUUCGAACACAGCCGCCUCUAUCUCCUUGAAAGUUUCGUAUUCUCGAGGAAUCGAGUUUCACAGAGCGUAUUCACCGAGCAUUCCACUUGGCGCCGAACGCGAUUCUGCCCCGAGCAAUUUCCCGUCAGGAAGUCCAGCGGGAACCGAUAUCGGCUCGUGUCUACAGGGGCAACGUGUUUCUUUGUGUAUACGCUUCGGUUGUUACAAGGAAAGGGAAAUUUAACAAGAUACAGAGAGAGAGAGAGAGAGAGAGAGAGAUACAGAGAGAGGGAAGAAGAAAUCGUUCCUAGCGAACACUCGGUAGGAAAUCAAUUUCCUCAACGAAUUACAGCGGUGGUGAGAUCGUUAUUCGUGACAUUGUCGCUGCUUGUAGAAAGUGAUCGAGAUCUCGAUAGUUUCAGCUCAGACUGUGAGCUGAGAAAGUUAAGUUUCCCCUGUCACGGUGCGAAAGGUGCAACGACACGUGUACAGUUUUUGAAUAGUUUCCUUAUAGUUGUUCAGACCUGCUGCGUUCUUUGCAUCAUUUUAGAUUCGAAUUUAGAUUGAGUAAAAAAGGAAAAAAGAAAUGAUUACUGGUACGCACGAUGUCUCGUUUUAACUUAACGUUGAACAUCUUCGUGAAAUAUCGCAAAUCUUUUUUAUGUGAUCAAUGAAAACAAGAAAUAUAGGAAUUGGGGAAUCGCAGCAGGGUUAAGAAUGAAAGUUUUUAUGACACGUUAAGGUUAAUCGUGUGGUUAAUCGUUAACCUCUGGAGGGAUACUGACGCAUAUUUGUGUAUUUAGCUUUCUUCUUUAUCAAAGUAUCGAUCCAAAAGACAGUUCAAGUAUGAAAAAUAUACGCGUACAAAAGGUAAGGACAAAGAAUAAGGAAUGUCACAAAAGAACUUUAUUACGAAAAUUAAGUUUGAAUAUCUUGGUAUACUUGUCGAAACAAACUUUAACUAUAUUCGUAAUAAAAUUCGUAGUAUCGUGAAAAAGUAAUUAUUUUAUAUCAAGUUAAAUACUACAGAAUACUGAGACAAAGUAAGAAAUGUCCAAUUCUGUUAUUGUCGAAACAAAAAUAUCCACCAAUUUUACUAAUAUUUAGAUACUUUGUUCCUGGCGCUCGUGUUAUGCAUGCCGCUUUAUUAUUUAGCGAUAUGCAAACAUACAAACAUGCAGACUUUCUGUUUUCUCCGACGAAUCUCCGACGAAUAUUUCUGUAAUUCUAAUUGCGGUUGCUAGCGACUAUUAAUCGACAAUAAAUAAAUAAAUAACAGUAAUAAUUUCUGUAAUUCUUCGUGUUCUAAGAAAACUUCUAAGUGCCAGUUGCCGUCAUCAAAAUACGCCACAUCACCUUGAAAUCGUUUAAAAUAGACACUUCCUAUUCUUCUUUAUCCUUGUCUUUUGUACGUGAACAAUAUUACCAAUUUAGAAAUUAUUACAUUAUUUCUCUUCAAGAAGAAUAACGGUAUAGAGAGUAAUUAUCUUUCAUCGACUUCUAACAUCAGCAAAUCCGUUCCUGAGGAGCGAAAGGGACGAUCCGAAAGUUUGCGGUAGGAACCACGCAAGCAGGAAAGCUAUUCGUCCAUCGAAGCCUCUGGUCAGAGUUGCGAUUUCUCUCUUUUCGAAGAAAAGUUCGGAGAAGUAGCGGAAGUUCUCGACAGAACCGAUUAAAUCCUCGUUAAGUAUGAGGAAGUAAGUAAGAGCGAAGAGUCGAUCAAGUUGUCAGAUUUUCCAAGUUCUUGCGUGGUACUGUCGAGGACGCGAAAGGAAAUAUUUUCGAGGCCGUUCGUGGCAAGCUUUGAAUCGUGCCAUAUUAUCGAGAAUAUGACAGGAUUUAUGUCUUGCGUACGAUGGAGGUCCUCGUGGUGUACGUGUGAGGCGAAGAGUAUGCGAAGAGUAUCAUGGAGAAAUACCGUAGAAACGUAUUGGUUCGCCAUUGAAAGAGGAAGUCGAAUAAUCAGAUUGCGUUUCAUAACCAUAAAACCACAUAGACUUUCGAUUAUUACACGCUGUGUUAUAUACAUUCUUAUAUAUUAACGCGAUACGGAACGAAAUAUGAUACUUUAGAUCUUAAAAUUUCACUAUUAUCGGAUGACAUAUUUGUGGUCCUUUGGAUUUCGAUAGUGUUUGUUCCGAGGUUUCGCGAACGUUUCACUUCUCUUCUUCUGGACAGAGUUGAGACUGAAGUUACGAUGUCACUGGAUAUUUGUAUGCACGCGGUGUACAAAAAUAUGACACGUUUGAAAUCGCAUUGAAAGACAAUUUGUCUUUUCCAACAUUGAAAUUUCAUUUGGAAAUCAUAAAAAAGGAAGAAAAUUAGUUUAAUCUUGUUUCGUAACCAAACUGCAAAUGUUCAUACAAAUUCACUCCUUUUUCUGAAUAUUAUCGAAGAAAUAGAACGUGAACAAAGAUACGCGUCAUUUUUACUUUAUUCAAGAUACCGUUGGACAUUAUGCGCAUUCUUGUACACUUUUGCGUUUCUGAAUCUGUCAUAAAUGCACGAACUGGGAUACAGAACCGAUGUAACAGAAUAUCCUGGUACACGAAAAUUGAAUUCAAGAUACGAUAAAAUAGAAUUCUAACGAUAAGUUUUAUAUGUUUGUCCGUCCGAUUUUUUACAUAUUUCUAAACAGAUCUUGUCACUGUGUAUCUCGUAGCUCUAUAAAAAUUGAAAAUUUUACUGUGGUCUUAUAGUUAUGAGACGCAGCUUAUAGAAAGGGAAGGAUAGAAUAUCGCCAAACGCGAAGUUAUAAAACCAUGCACUCAAGGACCAAGAUAUAAUUAAUUCGAAAUGAUUGAGAUAGACAAUUUUAAAGAGGAUCUCGAAAAAGACGAAGAUGGAAUAGAAAAAUGACGGGCGGGAAAGAUGAUACCGCAUGAUGGCUGAUAUGUUUGUUCGGCCGCGGGAUAUCAGUAAUUAAAUUCAUCGAUUAAUCAUCUAUAUCCGAAAAAAAAUUCAAUUUAAUAGACGUGUAAGAAACUAUACAGAGGUUUUCGACGCCAACAUACUCAUAUUAUACUUUAAUAUUUAAAUUGUAAGUAAAAACGGACCCGAGAUCGGGACUACGCGUCUUUAGAGAGUACGAUUUGUCGAAAACGAAUGUCCUUUAACGUUUAAGCAUGUCGUUCCCGAUAUCGAUGGUCUGAUAUCAGUCAUUGCAUAUGCAAGAUCGUUCGCGUUCUAAUCUAAUUUCACGAUUUAUCCGGUCUGACGAGGGAGUAAUAGGAUUAUUAAAAAAUCAUUUCGGUUUCGUGCGCGUAUAACAUUUAUCGACAGAAUGAAUAAAUAAGUGUAUCAUCCUGCCAUUCGUUUUAUUAGGUAAGUCGUCGCGUAGCAGAUUUCGUUUUGAGGCGAACAAGGUAUCAACAAGUCUGUAACUUGUUUCCGUGUAAAAAAGUAAAAACUAUUUCGAAUCGAUGCAUAUCUCUAUUAUUUUUUUUUUUUUGUCAUUGUAUUAUCGUUAUUAUCAGGGUACCAUUGCACAAUGAUUUAUUAACUCAGUAAUAUUAGCAAAUUGAAGUGUCACGAGUUUCUCUUCCAUCAUUUUAUAAUUUUCCGUGAAAUAAUAUGAUCAGAUAACAUGUAAUUUGUACAAUUUGCGUGAACAAUUCCGUUGAUUAAUUACUACAUUUGUUCCUGCGGUAUAAGAAAAUUUAUUACAGUCGAUAACUCACAACUUAUAAGAUUUCAUUAAUUUCAAUCGUGCAAGAGAAUCUAGGUUUUGUAUAAUCGAGUAAUAUAAUUUUUAAAUUUCAUUUAUAUUUAAUAGGAAUUUUUCGCCAUGCACCGCAUAAUUAAUUAUUCUCCUUAUCUCGUAUUUCAUUCUUUGAAGUAUUUUUCAUACGUGCAAUAAAUCUCCUCUAUAAUAUCCUCCAUUUUCGCAAACGUAUACGAAAUAUCAUGUUUUUUUCCCGAAAGAUUUAUUAAAUCUACGACACAGUAUGAAAUAUGUAUUUAAUCGCGUCUGCGUGCACAAAACAAUUAUGUAAUCGUUGAACGUGUCUCCUUUCUUUUUUGCCACAUCUGACUAUUGUAAUCGCUUAGCUAAUCGAUUUGAUCGAUAAAAAUAGCGAUAUUUAAUGGAGAAUCGACGCGAUGAAACAAUCCGCUGCUCUCCGAUCACGAGUUCGCGUUAUUUUCAUCCCUUAAACAUUACAUUCCGAGUUUUGCAUUCGAUAUAAUUAAACAUUCCAUUCGAAGUACUUACGAGUAGUCACUUAUAGCCUUAAUUCUUCGAGUUGAAUUCACGGUUUUUCGUGAAAGAAUGGUCGAAUUAGUAGGAAGUUUAGGUAGAACAUUUAGUCGAGAGAGGAUACUUCAUUGUAGAAAGUGUCACGAAUCUCAACCGAUUUUUGACUAUAGUCGAGGUGUAAACUAAAAGUAUAAAGUUAAGAUCGUAAAUGUUACAGAUUACGAAGCAUUUCAUUACAUUUUCUAUUACGUUCCAAAAUUUUUUCAAGAAGAAGCUUAGCGUUCUGUAUCAAAAUUAAGAAAGAAUAAGAUUCGUGAAAGAAAAUUGUAACGUUUCUACUUUUCCACGCGUUAUAGUUUAGUCCAGAGAUAUCGAUCGUUUAGGGUAAUUCAAUCGCUCCAUCCAUUAUGUUAAUCAGCUGUUCGUCUCUUUUUAACACCUCGAAAGGCUCUAACGGUAAGAAUGGAACAAAUAUUAUUCUACGAAGUGAUAUAGACAGAGAGUAUGAUAUUUAACAAAUUCGAGGCCGCUGAUUAUACAUUGCGUGACCCGUGGUAUUCGUCCAAGCUGUAAAACGAUGAAAAGCAGACAAAAAAUUUAUUACGGAAGAUAAAAUGGUCUCGAAUGAUAUAUCACGUGAAGUCUGCUUCUAAACUGGGAGCGUUCCAAUCUUUUAAAAGUCACUUACAUUUUUUAUAUACCAAUUAAUAUUGCAUUCUCUAUAAAAGGAGGUAAUAAAGUAUUUGUAUGUGAAAAUGGUUACAUUAAAAGACGUUCUACUUUCAACACGACAUCUAGAAUGUAAAAUACAAUGUUCGAGUUUGUAUUAGGUCGUCCGAAAAGUUUCUUUCGUUUUAUAAGGAAAUAGUGGAUGCACAAUAUUUUCCGUUUUAUAUUAUUUUAUCGAAUUACGUAUGAUCUAUUUUGUUCUAUCAAGAUAAAGAUUACAACGUUCGACAGAUUAGGUUUCAUGUUUGUAUAAAGAUGCGUCGUUGUAAAAGACGUGUCUGUAAAAGAAAGACACUUUUCGGACAAUCUGAUACAUCCCAUUUCCUUUAAUGUUCUUCGAAUUCCUCAAAAUCGUAUUUUGCAAUAUAAAAUCUGGUGAGAAAUCAAUAUCAGUAUUCAACUUGUCGAAAGAAUAGAACUGUACUAUAUUAUUUUACAAUGUUGCGGUAAAUUUUCUAAAUGAUUUUUCCAAUUUUCUGUUAAUAAAAUGUUUCGAAAUUGCUAAUUUACGCGUCACACAGCUACGAUACAAUAAUUGAAAACAUCCAUUUUCUUCCCCACGCGUAUCUUCGUUUGGGAAAACGAUUCCCUGGUAUACGUAUACAACGUAUAAAUAAAUCGCAAACUAUAGUUAUCGCGAAGACACAAAUAAACUUCGUACCUUGUUAACUGUUAUCUUGUUAUAUCGUAUAUUCGCAGUCGCAAUUUCUGAAGCACUGUACACGAUAACACUAAAUAUAAAGGAAGGUAACAAUUAUGACUAAUGCUAUGAAACAUUCCAACUACAACAAGCAAGUUCUUUUAUUUUACUUAAUUACACUGAUAUUUUAUAGUUUGAUAAAACGCUAUGCAAGGAAUGUUACGUGUUUGUUAUAUCACGAGAUAUGUACAAAUGUAUUACCAAAUACCAAAACUAUAUCUGAAAGUGGAAAUUAUGGCAGACUUAAGGCGAAAGACGAGUGACCCACGAUCAGAGUCAUUGGCGUUUAGGGUAACGUAGAGUUAUUCGAAUCAGUUAAGCUUCUAAACCAUAAAAUCUCCACCUUGAACAUUGAACAGAAUGAUCAAGCUUGCUGUAUAUCACGAGACGCUGUUAGUCUCUGUAACAACGGAAGUAUGAGAAUAUACCGCGUGCUUAAAAUUGAGCAAGAAAAAGCAUCAGGAACGAGAAAAUAAUAAAAACGACCUUAUGGAAAGAUACUCUACCAUACUUUAUAGCAGGAUCUCGAUCUCGAAUUCGUUAAUAUACCAUCGAAGGAGAAAUUGGGACGUGUAACGAUAAGAAAGUAUGUAUUAUCUGUGAUGUGUUUGCAACCUAGUUGAGGCACAUAGUGCGGCCGUGAAAUGGGUGUGGUGUCUGACGUGGCGCAAGAAAUAACCCUGGACGAUCGAAAUGUUGAGGGACGAUGGUUAAACUUGAAAACUGCGUCGAGAUUCGUGCACUGAAUUUCGUAUCUUUGUAUUUCGUUGAACGACGUCGUCGUAAUCUCGACGUUAGUUAGAUUUACGCUGCGUGUAUCAAGUGCCGCUUUUCUCUCAUGAGCGUAUUCAAUCUCGAGAUUCUCGAACCCAUGAACGUUAACAUUUAACUAUAAUUAGUCGAGACAGCUGCAAAAAUCUUUUCCGGCGUCCUGAUUUAUCGAUAGGGGGGCGUCCAUUGUCCAGUGACUGAUAGCGCAGUACAUAUUAAGGAUAGUCUGUAAUUUUAAUAUGCUAUAUUCCAUUUUGUAAUAACUUGGGUAUUUAAUUACAUAUGCUAGCUUUAGACGGCGAGAUUUUCGAAAACGACCCGAUACGCGAUGUUCAUUUACAUACGUGUGAUUGAUAUCGUAAUUAUGCUAUAACGGUCACACGAAUGGUGUACGAUUAAAAGACAGGAAGAGAAGCAGAAAGAAAGAAGAGAAAAAGCGAAGAAAAGAGAAAGACACGACGAACGAGGGCGGAAACGAUUUCUUUCUUUCUCUUUCUUUUUUUCUUUUCUUUUCGCGAAUGCAUUGACGUUCCCUGUUUUCAUCGAUCGGUCGUUUUCGAACGUCUUUAAGAAGAAAUUGCCACGCUCGGGCGCUACCAUUCUGUGAUCCAAUGAAAAAUUAAUUAAUUAAUCUCAUACCGAGAAAACGUGAAUGAUGUUCUUUCGAGGAAUCUUACUCUGUACAUAUAUUAUAUUAUUAUACAUCUCUACCUUUUUUAAAUUGGGACACCGUGUAUUUAUUAAGAAGAGAAAGAUAGAAUGAAGAAGGAGGAGAAAGAAGAAGGGAGACAGAAAGACAAAGAAACGAGAUGAACUAGUGAACGAAAUCGAGAAUGAACAUAGAAACAAGUGGUGUCUCCACUUUUUCCAUUCUACGCAAUUCAAACUUUUUGUAUACUCUUGCAAAGCUGAAGAAAAACGAGAGAGAGAGAGAGAGAGAGAGAGAGAGAGAGUGAGAAUGAGAGAGAGAGAAAGCAAGAGAGCGCAAGAGUAAGAAAGAAAGUAAUACGAAUGAUGAUAAAGAAACGAAUGCCGUGAGUAGAGUUAUGAGAGAAGUAAGCAUAAAAGACAAAAAGAAAAAACAAUAAAUAAAAAGAACGAAGAAAAUUAGCGAAGCGAUUUGGUUCGAUUGAAUGUUGAGUGAAAGUGCCUUUUGCGAUAUGUUUCGUAUUUCGUGUAGCUUUUCAUCGUUGAAGGGAACCGAUUGCUUUCGAUUAACAAUUCUGUGCCAUUUCCACUUGCUAUAAAGCAGGAAUUGUAUGGGUAACGCAUAUUUAUGAAAUAUUCGAUAACGAAAGGUAAAACCUUAAUUUUUCUAAUUUUUCAUAUUUCAUCGAUCAAUCGAUAAAUCAAUUAUUAUGUAAACUAUUGUGUAUAAUACUUCGACGUAUAGGGUGUUCCGCAACAUAUGACAAAAUGGUCAAGUAAUAACAUAUGGUUUUAUUAUCACUGUUAUUGUCGUUGUGUAAUGUUUGGUUUAUUCAGUCUCUCAAAUUAUUCGGUUUCGUUACACAUAACUCUCCUCAUAUCAUACCUCUAUGUUAGUCGUUGAAUUUUUGUUAGUUCCUCCAAGUGCCAACUUCGCUUACAAUACAUCGUCCAAUGUUUUUCAAACAUCCUGUACACGUUUAAAACAUAUUUAAAACGUGAACCAGCAAUUACCAACAUUUAAAUACCUUGGAUUGUUCUAUUCUAUGUAUCAAGCUACGUAUGUUCUACGAUCGCUAUAGCAAAUAUGCAUAUAAUUAAUCUGCAAGCGCAGGAUGUUGAUAAUCUACACGUUAAUGUACGAAUUACAUCAAACUCAAAAAGAAUAAACGGAACAACAAGAAUAGGACAUAAACUACAAGAAAUACUAAAAGAUAUGGUUAACAAAUAGGAUCAAGAAACGAGCUACAUAAAUUAAUACAAACUCUGUAAAAUCAUCUUUGCCACACACCAUGCAAUCUUAUUCAAGAAAGUAUUCCAAUUUUCUAGAUUCAUGCGAUAUUUCAAAUACAUUUGAACAACGAUAAUUACUGGUUCAUCUUGUACAUUUUAUACAUUCGAAGUUACGAUACUUGCUAUUAUAACGUCGUUUAAGAUAAAUUAAAAGGUCUCUUUUUCGAACGAUUAAUUUUAUUUUACCAUUCUACCUUCGAAACUGAAAGGCUGAAAGCGCAGAUUAACUUUAAUCAUAAGUAACCUCUGCACUUUUCUCGCGUUCAUUUAAACGAUCUAUAUUGUGUGUUCAUCGAACGGUGGACUUAUUCUAUUAUACCAUAUCAUAUCGAAUUAUAAAGUUUUUUCUUUUUUUAUUGUUGUACAUUGUAAUGGAUUUUUAAGGCACGACAAAUCUCCCAUUAGGAAUACACGCUUCGCGUAUAUUCUGCGAUCGGGGGAAAGAGGACGUUAAAUGGGGGAUGGAGAGUGCUAUUGAAAGGGGCGGGUUCCACGGCACGUUAAUUUCAGGUACAGAAAUAUCCUAAAAUAAGUGGUACAAUUACAUUUAUGUAGUACCUUGCGCACACUUUUAGAGUGUGGAAGCUUAAAGCUUUAGAAAGAAGGGAGAAGAAGGAAUGAAAUUCCGUCUUAAAGUCAAGGGUCCCUUCCAAGAAUCAUCCAAUAUGUGAGAAUUUUUGUUUAUUCGAGGAUUCUUAGACAAUUUACGUCGAAGAGUGGAACAACGAUAAUUUUAUCUGAAUAAUUUCUUCGCGGUUGAUUUUACGCGCACCAACUUGAUUUUUCUUUUUUUUUUUUAAUAAAUUAGUACUUGUCUGAUAAGACUGGUUUCAAAUUUUAGUAGAUUAUGUCUUUACAAGACUGAAAAUUAUGCGAGAAACGUGUUUCUAUUACUGACGAUUAAUAGAAAGUAAUUUUUCUCACAGGCUAAAAGGAAUUGGUUGCUGAAAGAGUUAAAAGUAAAAAUUAUUUGAUCAUUUCAUAAAAAAUUAUACCUUGGUAAAAGCAAUUUUGUUCUUGGUAAAGAUUAAAUUUCUAAUAAGAAUACAUUCCUCUCGAUGAAAACAUUAGUUUCAAAAUUAUAAUCGCGAGUUUAACCAGAGUUAGAUUUAACAAGAGAGAGAGAGAGAGAGAGAGAGAGAGAGAGAGUAACAAGAGAGUUGAUGAAAAGUAAUUUUACGGCCGAGGAAUAAAGGUAAGGCACACGCAAAAACAAAUUAAAAAUAUCUGGUUGUUCUAAAGUAUCUUGUUUGCUCCGCUACGUAAUUUCAUCCAGUUUUUUUUCUCCUGAUAUAAUUAUAAUCAAGGUUUCCCAUGAACAUGUAAUUGGUCUUCUUAAUUUAUGUACUCUAUUUAUAACGUUGCCUCGAUACCUUUAUCGUUAUUAUCGUAAAUUAUUCGGUGAAACCAAACUGGACAGUUGAAAAUGAUAUAAUAAAUUCUUAUUACAAUCGACAUAUUUGAACAAAAUAACGAUAUGUCUUCUGACAAAAUUAACGCAAGAUCUUUUUACUUUGAUCAAUUUUUCUUUGUGAGAUCAUUAAUUAUAAAUUGUCUCGUAAAUUUUCCAUAUAAUGUAGGUAAAUAUAUUUGUAACAUCGUAAAACAACAAAUCGCUUCUUUUCUUUCGUUUUCCUUUUUCUAUUUCUUUUAGAAAUUCCUUUUGGUAAUAUUUUAUAUCGUGGUAUUAAAAAAAGAAUCUAACAUUUUAAAAACUUUUAGUAACUUUCAAGAAGAGUAAAAAUUGUUUAACGUAUCUAGAUGCUAAGAGGUAAUACUCUUUUAGUGUAAAUUAUAGUUUGGUGUCUUCUUUUAGUUCCAUACCUUUAAACAAAUUUUAUUUUUUCAUUUACGACAUAAUAUUGUUCAAUCACGACAAUAAGCACAUGUGGUGCAAGAAAGGAAUGUUUAAAAUUCCACAUACUUAAUUCACAAUCUGCACACAUGAUUGUUGUAUUCAAACGGGAGAAAGGAAAUACAUUUUUGUGUUCUAUUUCAAUCUUUUCUCAACAUUUUCUCUUAGCCUGCUGUAAUCGUUUCUAGAUUAUUUUCUUUAUUCAUAUUUAUCACCUUACCACAAAACGUGCUUAAGUAUAGCAAAUAUAAAAAACAAAUUUAGAACUACAUUUUGCUUUAAUAUCACAACUACCAUCGACUCUCAAAGUCUUGCAUCGUUAUUUUCUAAAAUCUUCUACAUUUCGAUUACAUCCUUCUCUACAUGUCGAACAUUAAAAAUCUUUUACGAAACCUAAAAAAGAAGGGAUAAUGAAAAAGGAUUAACAAGUAUAGUUGUCGUCGACGAAUACUCACGAAGGGACCCUGAAGCACGGAAUAUUCCAGAAAAAAAUUCGGAAGCUUCGCGGCGGAAUUAAAUCGAGCAUUUCUUAUCGGUAAUUUGAAAAUCGAGACUCGUUAAAAAAGAUACUCGGCAGUUAAUUACCGAGCGACGUGAAAGGCGUUUAUAGACGACGUGUCACUCGUCUCUUCGUUGUUGAUUCUCAUCUAUUAUACGAUCAAACAGACGUACUUACGUCCAUCGAGAGACUCGUGGAUGUUUUAUUUCUGUAUGCGAACCGUCUCGUUCGCCUCAAGGACUAAACUCGACGAUGAAACUGGCGUUUUAUUCGCUGCGAGAAUGGUCCCAUUGGGGCGGUAAUAGACCCGCGAAGUUCUUCGUUCACGGCAUAUCGAUUCGAGACUGGAAAGGAUGGCGGAAAAGCUUAGGGUAAGCAGAGGAGAGGGGAAUUCCCUCGUGUGUGAAACAGAAUUUCGUAGUAAUAAGGAAUCCGUCGAUCUCUAGGGGAUGGAUAAGCAACUCUGUAUCGGCGUUUCCUUGUUGGUCGCGCUUUGAAAGGUCGAGAAACGUCGGCUUGAAACAGGCAUUUCGUGUAAUUGAUUAAGAAAGCGUGUUUAUUUCUACGAAGAGUAUUUAGAAAGGAAUAAAGCGUAGACUGAUAUGGAAACGAAUCACUUUUUAACCGACGAGAAUACGUAAUUAUGAUGUUUUCUUCGAGUUUCUUCUUCGAGUUGGAAAUCUGAAGAAAAAAACUCGUCUCUGACUAAUCGUUUCAGUGUUUGCUAUAAGAUAUACAUAUGUAAGGAGGGAAUGUGCGUGUGCGCGUGUAUACCAGACACACUGUUUGUCUUUUGUAAUUUUUUUCCACUCGAAGUGUACACGUCUAAUAGUUGUAAAAAUAUGAGAAAUAUAUGUGUUUUAUGUAAAUGUGCUAAAUAACCAUUCACGAAGCUGAGACGACAUGUUAUAAAUUCAAGAGAUCUCUUAUCCUAUACGAUGUAUGAAUACGUUGUAUGAACACAAGUGACACGGAAUCAGAAUCGAAUUGAACUAAACAUGGUAUUCGUUGAAUACGAAUAAUUUAACAUGGAUGUGCGUAUUACGGAUUAAACACAGAAAUGGUAGUUUUUAAAGAAAAGAAGAAAUAUUGACUUUGCAUGGAGGAAAGGAUCAGAAGAACGUAAUCCAUUCGAACGUAAAGUAAUUUUACGAGUAAUCUUACUGUAUGUACAAGUUCUAUUAGAAUGUAAGAUAGACGAUAAGAAUUAUGGAGUAUGUGGCUGAUUGUGGACAGCGACGAUCUUUAUCAUUGUUACAAUUAUUAUAGCUCUUGCAUACACUAUUGCAAUACGUAUUACUACUGCAACUAUUAUAAAUAGGAAUUAAUAAGCUUUCUUAUGCCGUUUCUCUAUUGUACCACUUAUAUACACCUGAUGCACGACUUUUCGAGAAUAAAUCUUUAUGAAACGCUCCAGUCUUUGUAA